ACUUUCCCCGCCCAUCCAUAUUAAAUCAAAAAUCAAAAUUCCCACAAACCCUUCCACACCUCCACUUCUCACUGCCCUCCGCUCUCGUCUGUCCAGCCAUGGAAGACGACGAUCAGAAGGUCCUAGAUCUAAUCAAAGAACUGGUCCACCGCUUACUCUACACCUCCCAGCACCCAAACCCCUCCCCGUCAGCCUCCUCAAACCCUAAUUCCUCCUCCUCCUCCUCCCCCACUACCCAUCAAUAUCAGCAAGCUCUCCGGUAUGCCCUUCGCAUUCUCUCCAGUCGGAUGACCCCAUCAAUUGCCCCCGACGAUGCCGCAAUGGCCGAGUCCAUUAAACGCCGCCUCGCCACCCAAGGUAAAUCCUCCGAAGCCCUUACUUUUACGGAUCUUUACUCCAAGUUUUCAUCCAAAACGGGCCCCGGAAGCGUGAAAAAUAAAUGGGGUGUGCUUUAUUUGCUAAAAACGAUCUCUGAUGAUCGGAAAUUGCUGAAAAAUCAGUCCAUUUCUAGGGUUUCUAAUGGAUUCUUCGACCCCGCCUCGGUCGGCGGAUUGCCGGCAUUGUUUGAUAGUGACUUGAGCGACAGAGUUAGUGUUGUUAAUGAACAUUACAAGAAUUUGAGUGAUUUGGAUGACAAGCAUUUUUCGCAUAAUUUGGGGGGUUCUAGUGAUAAUUUGAAAAAAUUGAGGGGUUUGAAUAGUUUUGGGAAGGUGGAGAAGAAAUGGGGUGAUAGUGCUUUCAAUGAGAAUUUUGAGAAAUUGAGGGUUUCAGGGGAGGGUUCGAGGGGUUUCAAGGGUCGGGAGAAUGUGGGCAAGGGUUGGAGUGGAGGGGUUUUAAUGGUUUCGAAGGACCCGGAAAAUAUUCGUCAUUUGGCGUAUAAGGAGUUUGCAGCACUGUUAAGGGAAGAGAAUGAGGUUUCAGAGGAGGCCUUGGUGAGGGAUGUGUUGUAUGCUUGCCAAGGGAUUGAUGGGAACUAUGUGAAGUUUGAUGAGAAAGCUGAUGGUUAUAUGUUGCCUGAGUUAGUGAAGGUCUCAAGAGCAACUCAUGUUAUGGUUCGGAAGCUUUGUGAGCUUGGAUGGUUGUUUAGGAAAGUGAAGGGUUAUAUUUCAGAAAGUAUGGAGAGGUUUCCAGCUGAGGAUGUAGGGACUGUUGGGCAAGCAUUUUGUGCCGCCUUGCAGGAUGAGCUGUCAGAAUACUAUAAGUUGCUUGCAGUUCUUGAAGGUCAGGCAAUGAACCCGAUUCCACUGGUUUCGGAGAGUGCAACUUCGGGGAAUUAUCUUUCAUUAAGGAGAUUGUCAGUUUGGUUUGCUGAGCCAAUGGUAAAGAUGAGAUUAAUGGCAGUUUUGGUUGAUAGUUGUAAGACUUUGAAAGGUGGGGCUAUGGCGGGGGCAAUUCACAUGCAAGCCCAACAUGGUGAUCCACUUGUGAAACAGUUCAUGAAAAGAUUACUCCGAUGGGUGUGUUCCCCUCUUUUUGAAAUGGUUAGGAGUUGGGUUCUAGAAGGAGAGCUUGAAGAUAUUUUUGCUGAAUUCUUUGUUUUAAGUCAACCAGUUAAAGCCGAGUCGCUCUGGAGGGAAGGUUACAGUCUGCAUUCUGCAAUGCUUCCUUCUUUUAUUUCGUCUUCUCUGGCUCAGCGGAUUUUAAGGACAGGGAAGUCAAUUAAUUUCCUUAGAGUUUGUUGUGAGGAUCGUGGUUGGGCUGAUGCAGCAGCAGAAGCUGCUACUGCUGCUGGGACUACCACAGGGAGAGGUAAUCUUGGUUAUGGUGAAACUGAUGCACUUGAAUCUCUAGUUGCGGAAGCUGCCAAGAGGAUUGAUAAGCAUUUGUUGGAUGUUAUGUACAAUAGAUACAAAUUCAAGGAACAUUGCCUCGCAAUUAAACGCUAUUUGCUCCUUGGGCAGGGUGAUUUUGUACAGUAUCUUAUGGAUAUUGUCGGUCCGGAACUGUCUGAACCUGCUAAUACAAUCAGUUCAUUCAAGCUUGCAGGACUACUGGAAAGUGCAAUCAGGUCAUCUAAUGCACAGUAUGAUGAUCCUGAUGUACUGGACGGGUUGAGGGUUAAGAUGAUGCCACAUAACACUGGGGACAGAGGCUGGGAUGUAUUUUCACUGGAAUAUGAUGCCAGAGUUCCACUAAAUACAGUUUUUACUGAAUCCGUUAUGGCUAGAUAUCUGAGGAUAUUCAACUUUUUAUGGAAGCUGAGGAGAGUAGAGCAUGCUCUUAUUGGUGCUUGGAAAACCAUGAAACCAAAUUCUGUUACUUCUCGUUUCCUUGAUAAGCUCCCAAAUGCUGUUAAGUUGCAGUUGGUUCUGACAUCAAGGAGAUGCCAAGUUCUUUGGGAUGAGAUGAAUCAUUUUGUCACAAAUUUGCAAUAUUACAUCAUGUUUGAGGUCUUGGAAAUUUCAUGGUCCAAUUUCUUGAAAGAGAUGGAGAUAGCGAAAGAUCUUGAUGAUCUACUUCUGGCACAUGAGAAGUAUCUUUGUUCAAUUGUGGAGAAGUCUCUCCUUGGAGAGAGGUCACAAACUCUGAAUACAACUCUUUUUGUUUUGUUUGAUCUAAUAUUGCGGUUCCGCAGUCAUGCAGAUCGAUUAUAUGAAGGUAUUCAUGAGUUGCAAUCGAGAAGCACAGAAACUUCCCUGUCUUCACGUGAUAAAACAAAAUCUCGGGCCAACAAAAAUGACAAAUUAUCUGAACCUGGGUUGUGGCUUGGUGAAGGCAGGAAGGCUCUAACACAGCGUGCUGGAGAGUUCCUUCGAAAUAUUGGGAAGGAUUUAGAUGCAAUUGCAAACGAAUAUACCUCUGUGUUUGACGGGUUCAUUUCUCAAUUGCCGGUGCAGCAACACAUAGAUUUGAAGUUCCUCAUGUUCCGACUGGAUUUCACUGAAUUUUAUAGUCAUCUGCAGUCCAAAACUGGCACAAAGCUACUACCUUAGCACCCCUGUUAAGCGACAUUUUACUUUCUAAAGUGUGUAAGAUGUAUGCUUUCUUUAGUAGUUGCACAUCAUGUGUGCUUGUAGAUAGUCUCUUGGCUGUUGUAGAACAGGCCCUACAUUCUGUACAUAAUUAUUUGCUUUCAGAAGGCAUUCUUAAGUUCUUGAGCAGGUGUGCAGCUGCUCUUGGCUGUUGUACUUGAGCUGAAGUUCUUUUUCCAUGUAUUCGGCUUGUUUGGGAGUUUGAGUCUGAUUAAUGGAGAACAGCAGAGUUUUGCACCCUUUUAACGUGCAAGUCUGUAUGUACCUUUGUCUGACUCGGCAGCAUUGUGGAGUUCCAAAAUGUUAGGAUUUGUACUUUGCAUUGUUAGAUUUUUGUAAUUUGUUAAUAUCGAAGUGUUUAAUGGCUCCUUAUGAGGGGCUUUCUAGUUAUGUUGUAGUGAGCUUAUAGUGUGUUGGGUUCAGAAGUAGCUUCUGAUGGAAUAUCAACGGAACUAACAAUUGCCUAUUCAAUGUAUCUAAGUUCCAUAGAAGAGGAAAUUGCAGUUGAGGAUGAA